GACGAACGCUGGCGGCGUGCCUAACACAUGCAAGUCGAACGAAACUUCUUUAAAGGAUUUCUUCGGAAUGAAUUUGAUUAAGUUUAGUGGCGGACGGGUGAGUAACGCGUGAGUAACCUGCCUCUAAGAGGGGAAUAACAUUCUGAAAAGAAUGCUAAUACCGCAUAACAUAUAUUUAUCGCAUGGUAGAUAUAUCAAAGAUUUAUCGCUUAGAGAUGGACUCGCGUCCGAUUAGUUAGUUGGUGAGGUAACGGCUCACCAAGACCGCGAUCGGUAGCCGGACUGAGAGGUUGAACGGCCACAUUGGGACUGAGACACGGCCCAGACUCCUACGGGAGGCAGCAGUGGGGGAUAUUGCGCAAUGGGGGAAACCCUGACGCAGCAACGCCGCGUGAAGGAUGAAGGUCUUCGGAUUGUAAACUUCUUUUAUUAAGGACGAAGAAAGUGACGGUACUUAAUGAAUAAGCUCCGGCUA
rnacentral:rRNA from 1 species